UUAUACUAUGAUUAAGUGUUUGAAAAAUUGAUAAAAAGAGAUCAUUGAAUAGGAGCAUGUUUAUUAAUUGAAAUGCGUAUAUUUACCCAUGAAUGGCAUAUAAAGAUAAAGGGGCUAAAGAAAGGCAACUGUAACUGAAGUAGGUCAUUUGUGACAAAACAGUUUGUUUAUAAAGAAAUUAAUCUUCCAGUUAGUGCGGAAGUGAUGAUCCACUAUAGUGCACAGCAACAAUACUUGAAUAAGCAAUAGCUUCAUCGGUUUAACCGCCUGUUAUUGGAUAUUUAAUGAAUAGCAUUAGAACUGGGUGUCUUCCAUGAUUUUUGGAAAAUAAUCUACUUAACCCUUUUGACAGGAUAAAUCACGGGAUACUCUUGGAGCAGUAACUGCGGGUUGACAAUUUCAUGAGGUGGAUUUACAGCUACCUAUCAAACAGGUCUCAAAUUGUAAAUGUCAAUGGCUUUAUAUCCUAUGAGCUAAACUCAUUCAAAAAAUUUUAUCCUGAAAAUAUGUCCAAAAGUAUUUAAUAAAUUGCCAAAUGACAUAAUUGAAAGCUUUUUUAGUUUUGAAGUGUUACUCUGAUAUUAAGACCUACCUUUCGGAGGAUUUGCUUGAUUUGAACAUUCCAUGAAGAGAAAUUCUUUGCGCUUUUUAGAUUCACAAUAGUUUCUGGAAUUUUAUUGAAGACACUUAUUGCACUAUGUAAUGGAGAGUCCUGACAUUUUUUUGUUCGCACCAAUGCAUUUCUCAACAUGUUUUUAUUUCUUAGCUGAUACUUUUGACAGUCUUUAAUUUGUAAUAAUUUUCCCUUUAAACUAGUCUUAAUAUUAUUUAACUGUAUACAUUUUAUAAAUUUAAUUUGUUCAUAGGUUCUUAAUUGAUUAAUGUUUAAAAUACCAGUAUUUUUAUAAAUUAUAUCACUUGGUGUGUAAUAAUCUAAAGAAUAAACUAAUUUAACUGCUUUAUUUUGCA